CCGGCACGGGUGAGUAACACGUAUGCAAUCCACCUGUAACAGGGGAGUAACCCGGAGAAAUCCGACUAAUACCCAUAAUAUGGGCGCUCCGCAUGGAGAGCCCAUUAAAGAGAGCAAUUUUGGUUACAGACGAGCAUGCGCUCCAUUAGCCAGUUGGCGGGGUAACGGCCCACCAAAGCGACGAUGGAUAGGGGUUCUGAGAGGAAGGUCCCCCACAUUGGAACUGAGACACGGUCCAA
rnacentral:rRNA from 1 species